CAGUAGCCACGGGAAUACGUAGGGUGCGAGCGUUAAUCGGAAUUACUGGGCGUAAAGCGUGCGCAGGCGGUUUUGUAAGACAGGCGUGAAAUCCCCGGGCUCAACCUGGGAAUGGCGCUUGUGACUGCAAAGCUAGAGUGCGGCAGAGGGGGAUGGAAUUCCGCGUAUAGCAGUGAAAUGCGUAGAUAUGCGGAGGAACACUGAUGGCAAAGGCAAUCCCCUGGGCCUGCACUGACGCUCAUGCACGAAAGCGUGGGGAGCAAACAGGAUUAGAUACCCCGGUAGUCCCUGUCUCUUAUAC
rnacentral:rRNA from 1 species